GUUGUAGUUUUUAUUUUUGAUUUGAAUACCUACUUUCUGGAUAUCAUGUCGCGGAUUAAAAAGCCUCCAGUUAUUAAAAAUAAGAAUAUCAUAACGAGCCAACUGACUACUUGCAAAUAUACAAGAGCUCUCACUGCUGGGACAUAAUCCGGAAAAAGGAAACAAGUAAAAAAUUAGUUUUCAUCAAAAUCAUAAGCAUAAAUUACCAAUGGAACUGCUUGUUAUCCUCCAGAACUAUAAAAUUACUAUUAAGUCACUGCAGUUUGAUGAGCAUCUACAUCGGUCAUCGCUUGCAACAUACAAUAAGGAGAAACGAGUUGCAUUUUAACUGUUCGGAACCUGCUGACAACUUUUGUUCUCACUCAACAUGGAAAGAACGAUCCUAAAUAUUGCAUGUUGCAGAAACAAAAACCAAUCAUUACUGUCGUCGAUUGGAAUUUUCAAAAGUUUUGAAAAUGCGUGCGUAAAUUUGUUGAUUAGAUGAACAGGACAAUGACCGGAUCUGUGAAGCAAUUUGACACCGGAAGCAGGCUGAUUAUUGCAUAAAUGAAUGAUAAAUAUGACUGUAAGAGAAGUCGUUUUUUGAUUUUCUUAAGGUGAACUUUUUCUUUUAUAGGUGUAUUAUCGUAAAUUUUUGUCUCAAUGACU